UGCAAAUGUCCCUAGGGUUCCGGCGUCCUGUGACGCGACUGGUCCGAGAGGGGCAGCCCGGCCUUACGCCGGGUCCACGGCGGGACAAAAGCCCGGGAGGC
rnacentral:sRNA from 2 species